rnacentral:rRNA from 1 species
UCGGCUUAGAGUUUGAUCCUGGCUCAGGAUGAACGCUGGCGGCGUGCCUAACACAUGCAAGUCGAACGGGAACCUCUGGAUUCGUCUGGGGGGGAGAGUGGCGAACGGGUGAGUAACACGUAGGUGACCUGCCCUGAAGCGGGGAAUAACCACUGGAAACGGUGGCUAAUACCCCAUGUGCUCCGCGGUUCAGUCCGUUGAGUAAAGCUCCGGCGCUUCAGGAGGGGCCUGCGGCCCAUCAGGUAGUUGGUAGGGUAAUGGCCUACCAAGCCAAUGACGGGUAGGGGGCGUGAGAGCGUGAUCCCCCACACUGGCACUGAGACACGGGCCAGACUCCUACGGGAGGCAGCAGUGAGGAAUAUUGCCCAAUGGACGCAAGUCUGAGGCAGCAACGCCGCGUGAGCGAUGAAGGCCUUCGGGUUGUAAAGCUCUUUUCUGGGGGACGAGGAAGGACGGUACCUCAGGAAUAAGUCACGGCUAACUACGUGCCAGCAGCCGCGGUAAUACGUAGGUGGCGAGCGUUAUCCGGAUUUACUGGGCGUAAAGCGCGUGUAGGCGGUUCUGUAAGUCGGACGUGAAAGCUCCUGGCUUAACUGGGAGAGGUCGUUCGAUACUGCGGGACUUGAGGUCGGGAGAGGGACGUGGAAUUCCCGGUGUAGUGGUGGAAUGCGUAGAUAUCGGGAGGAACACCAGUGGCGAAGGCGACGUCCUGGCCCGCACCUGACGCUAAGACGCGAAAGCGUGGGUAGCGAACGGGAUUAGAUACCCCGGUAGUCCACGCCGUAAACGGUGGAUACUAGGUGUUGGUGACUAUCGUCAUCAGUGCCGUAGCUAACGCGUUAAGUAUCCCGCCUGGGGACUACGGCCGCAAGGCUAAAACUCAAAGGAAUUGACGGGGACCCGCACAAGCAGCGGAGCGUGUGGUUUAAUUCGAGGCUACGCGAAGAACCUUACCUGGAUUUGACAUGACGGUUGUAGGAAACUGAAAGGUGACCGACCCUUCGGGGAGCCGCCACAGGUGCUGCAUGGCUGUCGUCAGCUCGUGCCGUGAGGUGUUAGGUUAAGUCCUGUAACGAGCGCAACCCUUACCGUCAGUUACAUGUGUCUGGCGGGACUGCCGGUGACAAACCGGAGGAAGGUGGGGAUGACGUCAAGUCAGCAUGGCCUUUAUGUCCAGGGCUACACACACGCUACAAUGGCCGGUACAAUAGGUUGCCAAGCCGCGAGGCGGAGCCAAUCCUCUAAAGCCGGUCUCAGUUCGGAUUGCAGGCUGCAACUCGCCUGCAUGAAGUUGGAGUUGCUAGUAACCGCAGGUCAGCUACACUGCGGUGAAUACGUUCCCGGGCCUUGUACACACCGCCCGUCACGUCAUGGGAGCUGGCAACACCUGAAGUCGGUGCGCUAACCGCAAGGAGGCAGCUGUCGAAGGUGGGACUGGUGACUGGGACGAAGUCGUAACAUGGUAACC